rnacentral:rRNA from 1 species
AACGCUAGCUACAGGCUUAACACAUGCAAGUCGAGGGGCAUCAGGAAGAAAGCUUGCUUUCUUUGCUGGCGACCGGCGCACGGGUGAGUAACACGUAUCCAACCUGCCCUUUACUCGGGGAUAGCCUUUCGAAAGAAAGAUUAAUACCCGAUGGCAUAAUGAUUCCGCAUGGUUUCAUUAUUAAAGGAUUCCGGUAAAGGAUGGGGAUGCGUUCCAUUAGGUUGUUGGUGAGGUAACGGCUCACCAAGCCUUCGAUGGAUAGGGGUUCUGAGAGGAAGGUCCCCCACAUUGGAACUGAGACACGGUCCAAACUCCUACGGGAGGCAGCAGUGAGGAAUAUUGGUCAAUGGGCGCUAGCCUGAACCAGCCAAGUAGCGUGAAGGAUGAAGGCUCUAUGGGUCGUAAACUUCUUUUAUAUAAGAAUAAAGUGCAGUAUGUAUACUGUUUUGUAUGUAUUAUAUGAAUAAGGAUCGGCUAACUCCGUGCCAGCAGCCGCGGUAAUACGGAGGAUCCGAGCGUUAUCCGGAUUUAUUGGGUUUAAAGGGAGCGUAGGUGGACUGGUAAGUCAGUUGUGAAAGUUUGCGGCUCAACCGUAAAAUUGCAGUUGAUACUGUCAGUCUUGAGUACAGUAGAGGUGGGCGGAAUUCGUGGUGUAGCGGUGAAAUGCUUAGAUAUCACGAAGAACUCCGAUUGCGAAGGCAGCUCACUGGACUGCAACUGACACUGAUGCUCGAAAGUGUGGGUAUCAAACAGGAUUAGAUACCCUGGUAGUCCACACAGUAAACGAUGAAUACUCGCUGUUUGCGAUAUACAGUAAGCGGCCAAGCGAAAGCAUUAAGUAUUCCACCUGGGGAGCACGCCGGCAACGGUGAAACUCAAAGGAAUUGACGGGGGCCCGCACAAGCGGAGGAACAUGUGGUUUAAUUCGAUGAUACGCGAGGAACCUUACCCGGGCUUAAAUUGCAGUGGAAUGAUGUGGAAACAUGUCAGUGAGCAAUCACCGCUGUGAAGGUGCUGCAUGGUUGUCGUCAGCUCGUGCCGUGAGGUGUCGGCUUAAGUGCCAUAACGAGCGCAACCCUUAUCUUUAGUUACUAACAGGUUAUGCUGAGGACUCUAGAGAGACUGCCGUCGUAAGAUGUGAGGAAGGUGGGGAUGACGUCAAAUCAGCACGGCCCUUACGUCCGGGGCUACACACGUGUUACAAUGGGGGGUACAGAAGGCAGCUAGCGGGUGACCGUAUGCUAAUCCCAAAAGCCUCUCUCAGUUCGGAUCGAAGUCUGCAACCCGACUUCGUGAAGCUGGAUUCGCUAGUAAUCGCGCAUCAGCCACGGCGCGGUGAAUACGUUCCCGGGCCUUGUACACACCGCCCGUCAAGCCAUGGGAGCCGGGGGUACCUGAAGUACGUAACCGCAAGGAUCGUCCUAGGGUAAAACUGG